rnacentral:rRNA from 1 species
AGUGAACGCUGGCGGUAGGCCUAACACAUGCAAGUCGAACGGCAGCACAGUAAGAGCUUGCUCUUACGGGUGGCGAGUGGCGGACGGGUGAGGAAUACAUCGGAAUCUACUUUUUCGUGGGGGAUAACGUAGGGAAACUUACGCUAAUACCGCAUACGACCUACGGGUGAAAGCAGGGGAUCUUCGGACCUUGCGCGAUUGAAUGAGCCGAUGUCGGAUUAGCUAGUUGGCGGGGUAAAGGCCCACCAAGGCGACGAUCCGUAGCUGGUCUGAGAGGAUGAUCAGCCACACUGGAACUGAGACACGGUCCAGACUCCUACGGGAGGCAGCAGUGGGGAAUAUUGGACAAUGGACGCAAGCCUGAUCCAGCCAUACCGUGUGGGUGAAGAAGGCCUUCGGGUUGUAAAGCCCUUUUGUUGGGAAAGAAAAGCAGCAGGUUAAUACCCCGCUGUUCUGACGGUACCCAAAGAAUAAGCACCGGCUAACUUCGUG